rnacentral:rRNA from 1 species
UAGGGAAUCUUCCGCAAUGGGCGAAAGCUUGACGGAGCAACGCCGCGUGAGUGAUGAAGGUCUUCGGAUCGUAAAACUCUGUUAUUAGGGAAGAACAAAUGUGUAAGUAACUAUGCACGUCUUGACGGUACCUAAUCAGAAAGCCACGGCUAACUACGUGCUAGCAGCCGCGGUAAUACGUAGGUGGCAAGCGUUAUCCGGAAUUAUUGGGCGUAAAGCGCGCGUAGGCGGUUUUUUAAGUCUGAUGUGAAAGCCCACGGCUCAACCGUGGAGGGUCAUUGGCAACUGGAAAACUUGAGUGCAGAAGAGGAAAGUGGAAUUCCAUGUGUAGCGGUGAAAUGCGCAGCGAUAUGGAGGAACACCAGUGGCGAAGGCGACUUUCUGGUCUGUAACUGACGCUGCUGUGCGAAAGCGUGGGGAUCAAACAGG